GAUGAUUACACAGAAGGUAACCUCCAUAUCAUUCCAGAGACUCCUCCAGCAGAGGUGAAGUCAGACGUUGACAGCGACAUUUUAACAGGUCAAUGUGUGCAGUUCACCAGAAGCGACCGGUCCAAAAAGAUCGGCAAAGUCAUUUACCAAGUUCCAGCCAAGCCUUCCGUGUACUUCAUCAAGUUUGAUGGUGACGUCCACAUCUACUUCUAUGAUCUGGUGGAAAAGAUCCGUUAAGGAUGUGAGCUCUCAGGAUCUACUCCAGCCAGGCCUGCCUGCCUGCCAGCCUGCUGUCAUGGUGUCUACCACGAUGGUCCACGGACUCACCCUCUGAAACUAGAUGGCUCAGUGGUUAAGAACACCCGACUGCUCUUCCAGAGGUCAUGAGUUCAAUUCCCAGCAACCACAUGGUGGCUCACAACCAUCUGUAAAGAGAUCCGAU
ensembl:lncRNA